UGCUCUGCAGCCAGCCCAGCCCAGCCCGAGAGUCGCCGGCUCCGAGAACCCGGCGCUCUCCCGGGGUUUUGCGGGGAAUUCCUGACCGGUUCCAGCGCAGGCUGCCCGUAUCGACAGCAAGCCCCAGCACCAAACGGCACUUUUGCAGAUCUUCCCCUCCCUGCUUAGGCUUAGCUGGAUCCUGUUGACUGGAGCUCAGAUGGAUUUUGUGCAAACCUAGCAGAGAAUUCAGCAUGAUAACUCAAGGUCCAAAAGCUGUCACACCUGCGCUGGGACAGCACAAAAAGAACCAUAUAGAGGACUUGCUUUUUUCACUUACAUAAUACAGUCUAAUCUCCCACAGAGCAGUGCCUGUAAAGUACUGUUUCUGAGACAUGCUACCUUAACAAAGAGCCCACAGUCUUAAAUUUCUGAGCUUCUGUUGCUAGUCUGCAGUGAUCAUUUAGCUGUCACACUUCCAGAGCUGCAACCAUUUUCUUGCUAGUCUUAUUGAUGGUACUAGUGCACAGAAAGAGAAGUGAUCAGAGGCUGCAUGAAUACAUUUGCUUAUGAGUCUCAAGAGCUGAAAUUUUUUUUUUUUUUAUCCCUUCCUGUUGCUUAUAUCAUUGGUUACAAAUUGGUCGGUGUACCUUUAAUAAAUAGUAUAAGGCAUAGCUAUA